rnacentral:hammerhead_ribozyme from 2 species
AGCCGAAAAGCCCCCCGGGGCGUCGUGCGGGAGAUGGCCUCCCGCCCCUGAUGAGGCAGGCCGGA